UGCCACUCUACUCAUUGUUUUAUGCAUUGUUAUGUGUUUUCUUGGUUUAAUAUGGAGGUGGAUUUUAUAAUUAAAAGGGAAAAAAAAACUCUCUUUUGUUUGACUUGAGCUACACAUUAUUGCCCUUUCAUGCGAUUCUUCUGGUAGGUGGCGUUUUUUACCAUCUUAUGGAAAAUCUUGCUCUUGAGGAAUACCGAACACAAGAAAUUUCAGGGUAAGAGGGUCUUGGGGAGUGAUGUGGGUCUUGGCUCACUGUUGUGCCUCUCUUUAGGUCAUAUACAAGUAGCACCUGUUAUCAUUUAUCUUUUUCUUUUUAACUCUUAGUAACUAGAGUCUUUUCAAGUAGUUUUGUUCUGUGUUUAGUAGCUCCUUUUUAGUUUAAUCCUUUUCUUUCAUUCAAAAUAAGGAUGGAAGGUGGAUUGUAUGGAGAGUUAUGUCAUGGUAUUGGUGGUGGGGUUUAUCAUUACAAAACAAAAUCUCUCUCAAUCAAGAGAGGAAGGUACAGGUCUAAAUAGUGCCCCCGUUGAAUUAUUACAGACAUGUUUUUCUUUGAUAAUGAGGAAAAGUUUCCGGCGUAUGGUCGAUGUUUUGCAAGAAUUUUGUUUGAUUAGGGGAUAGGGCUACUUUUUCUUAGGCAGCAAUUGUUGGUCUUCAUUGUCUGAAAUAUACUCUAAAUCUUUCAUGUUAAGUUUUUUCUUUGCCUGUGUUUAGCUUCUCUUGGGGAGGAUAGCCAGAAUUUGUGGAACUCUGGAACCCAUUGACUGACGAAGUUGUAGAAAGUUAUGAUUUCACAUUAGCCAAAACUUGAGCUCAUGACCUGCCCAGGAACACAGAUUGCCGUGCCUUCGACCAAUAAACCAAGAAGUUGUUAUUGUACAGUACAUUUUUUUAAUAAAUUCUCUACCACCGUGGUAUUGAUUGAAAAAUUAUCAUGAACUUUUAUUGGGAAGGUCCAUAUGUGGAUGGCGAAAAUUGUCCCCUACUCCUUUGGACUCGGGUGAUCUUGAAAUUGGAAUUUUGAGUUUGAAAAACACAGCUUUGAUUUGUAAAGGUUGUUAAGAUAUUUGAUAGAAUAAAAAUUGAUAGUGGCGUAGCAUUAUCAUUGAUAAAUAUGGCUAUAAAUCUAUUGAGUUAACAACAGUGGUGCACUAGAAGUUGUUGGUCAUCCGUCGUUAGGGGUGAAAUGGAUUGGUUUAGGUCAGUUUUUGUAGAAAUCCGAUCUGACCCAUUCCGAUUUAGAGAAGAAACCCAUCUCAAUUCAUGUUUGAACAAAAGUAGGUCGGGUCGAGUCACUCAUGUUUUUUUCCCCACCCAGUCCAUUUCCAUUUUGGUUUCUCCAUCUCCUUUACCCAUUCCUUUUUCUUCCCAAACCUGACCAAAUGUUUGUAUCAAUCAAUCUUCUUCUUUUCCACAAAAUCCAUCUUAAUUUCUCAAUCUUCAAUUUCCCCCUCCUUCCCUUUCCAUAUUUCCCCUCUUCCUCUUCCCUUGUUUAAACCACCAUCCUCAACAUCAUAAAACUACAACAUUAUCCAAAUCGUAACUCAAAUCAUGAGUGGGUUGAACCUAAAGAUAGAUCUGGGUUAGGUGAUAGAAAGAAAGGAAGAGAGAGAAAAAAAAGGUGUGGCCAGGUGAAAUAGGAAAAGCAAGCUUCAGAUUGAGAAAAUCUAGUCUGGGUUGCCGUUGAAGAAGAAAACCAUGCUUGGGUUGCCUUCGAAGCAGAAAUCCUGUUGUUUUCGUUUGUACCUGGAUGUGAGAACAACGAUUGGAAGAUUUUGAUUUAAGAAAAUGAUGGUUGCCAUGUUGAUUGGGAGAGAUCCAUGACUUGGAUUAUAGACUAGAAAGAGUGUAAGAACAGAAGCGAAUCAAGGAGAGAGAGAGAGAUAGCAUGAGAAAUGAAUGAAACCUAACUCAAAUAAUGAGUCAGUUCAGGUAAAUCAAGAACUGAACUGAACCAUAGUGGUUCGGUUCGGGUCAAAUAAUGGUUAAAAGUGAACCAAACUGACCCCCUAACCGAAGAAACCCUUCAGUCAUAACAAACUACAAAAAACUGUUCUUGCAAACCUAGAAUGCCAAUGGCAUUGAUUGAAGAUUCUAAAGUUUUGAAUGUUCAAAUGGAUCAAAUGAUGGAAUGAGUGUAAAUUUCCCAGACCGUACAUGGUGCAAACAUUGAUUGUAGUCAUUCCAUGUAUUGAGGAUUUUGGGGUUAGAUUCCGUUGAUAUGGAAUUUCGAAUUGAUUUCCAGUUAUUCAUCAACUAUAGGUCUUCCCUGUAACAUACCCAGACGUAAAAAUUUGAAGAUUUGGCAAGUCUGGUAUUUUUUUUUUUAUAAUUUUUGUUGAUAAGUUGAUACUUAAUUGUGUUUUGAAUGGUCUUGAAAACGCACUCAAGUAUGUACAGCUUUUCUUCCCCCAAAUUCUUUGUUUUUAAGCCACUGGAAACCAUCAUUUCCUGCCAUGUGGUGUCUGUUUAACAAUUGUUAAAGUGAAAACCGGUAAUGUGCUGACUUUAAUUGUGCUUCUAUAUAAACCCCUUGUGAGGGAAUUUCAGAUUUCUGUAUUUUUCUUACUACAUCAACGAGAUGAGUUACUUUUCCUUCAAUCCUGUUGAGGCUCCUCUCUCUCUCUCUCUUUUGCUGGUAGUAUUACCCUCUAACUGAGGAAGAAGAAGCUAGUUUUGCAUAUUACAUAUAUAUUAUAUCUAUCUUGUUAUGCUUUUAUUGAGUUCUGCCACCCAUUUUCCCUUGCUUUCCUUUUGUUUUCUUCUUAGAACUACUUUUAUAUUUUGAUCAAUAUGCAACUUAUGAUGGACUGGGUGGAUAAAGUGUGGCCGGUAAAGACGAAGAUGUGGCGUUUGAAAACAUUUUAAGAUGAAACUGGUGCUUUUGUAGAUGCUUCAUUUUAGCCCUUUUUGCUGUUAUCUUCUGAACUAAGGCUUCUCAUUUUCUGUGUACACUUUUUAUGCUUUCUUUUCAAUGUUGGUUUAUAGUUUCUUCUGCUCUGCGUAUAUUCCUUUUAGUAUACUGCAAAAAUUUUCUCUGUUGUGGGAUGAUUAGAAUAUCACCUAUGUUUUUAUUGCACAUCUUGUUUGGUAUAAUAAGGCACAAUUACCUAAAGUGAUUUCUAGAUGACUUUAUAGCAGUUUGAUGUAUAACUUUUCUAUAAGAUAAAGUAGCAUUCAAAAAUGCUUUGGGAUCGUUUUGAAACUUCAAAAAAAUAUUUGCAGAUUAUGAAAGAUUGACUUCGUAGCAUUUUGAUUUAUAACUUUUGGACUAGUAUGGAAGUUAUGCAUACAUAUGUUAUUCUCCAUUUUUGUUUGUUAUCUUU